CCUACGGGUGGCAGCAGUGAGGAAUAUUGGUCAAUGGGCGCGAGCCUGAACCAGCCAAGUCGCGUGAGGGAAGACGGUCCUAUGGAUUUUAAACCUCUUUUGUCGGGGAGCAAAAGACUCCACGCGUGUCUUUCCGAGUGUACCCGAAGAACAAGCAUCGGCUAACUCCGUGCCAGCAGCCGCGGUAAUACGGAGGAUGCGAGCGUUAUCCGGAUUUAUUGGGUUUAAAGGGUGCGCAGGCGGAAGAUCAAGUCAGCGGUAAAAUUGAGAGGCUCAACCUCUUCGAGCCGUUGAAACUGGUGUUCUUGAGUGAGUGAGAAGUAUGCGGAAUGCGUGGUGUAGCGGUGAAAUGCAUAGAUAUCACGCAGAACUCCGAUUGCGAAGGCAGCAUACCGGCGCGCAACUGACGCUCAUGCACGAAAGUGUGGGUAUCGAACAGGAUUAGAUACCCCUGUAGUC
rnacentral:rRNA from 1 species